CAACCAACUAAGCCUGAAAGACUUUUAUUCAUUUAUUACAAGAAAAGUUCAUUUAACUUCAAAAGGAAAAUGCAAGAAUAGUGAAUACUCUUCAUUAAAUCACAAAUCCACAUUCACAUAAUAUAAUAAUUUGAUUCAAUUUGACUCGUUUAAAAGGAAAAAAGAAAAUGGAAGAAGCAAAUAUUUUAUAGACAUUGCAUACAAAGUAAUUCCUCAUAUUAUAUUUAUAUCCACUGUGAUUUUAUCCAUUUGGCACUAUCAAAAGUAAUAACUGGUUCACUCCAUGGCAUCAUAUAUAGAUCAAGUAGCGUAACUACAAUAUGAGCUGAAGGCCAUGGCAAAAGAAUUUUAGACCUGAGGCAUGUUAAAGAUACAAGAAAACACAUAGAACCUAAGUGAUAUCCCUGUUCAUUGAUGGAAUGACAUUUUUACUCCUCACCAAGCAGGCAACUCCAGUAAUUAUUAGGGAGGGAAGAUCUAUUCCUAAAAUUAAUAAUUGCAAUUUAACAAAAAGGUAUCCCCAAAAUGAAAAAAUGUAUCCCAAAGAAAAAAUGAAGGGACAAAAUUGCCAAUAACAAUUACAGCAGUAGCAGGAGGACUGGAGGAGUUAGAGAUAGUUGUUCUAAUUGAUUUGACAUACCC
rnacentral:misc_RNA from 1 species